UACGGGGGGGGCAAGCGUUGUUCGGAAUCACUGGGCUUAAAGGGCGCGUAGGCGGGCUCGCCAGUCAGGGGUGAAAGCCCACGGCUUAACCGUGGAAGUGCCUCUGAUACUGCGGGUCUCGAGGGAGGUAGGGGCGUGCGGAACUUCCGGUGGAGCGGUGAAAUGCGUAGAUAUCGGAAGGAACACCGGUGGCGAAAGCGGCGCGCUGGACCUCUUCUGACGCUGAGGCGCGAAAGCCAGGGGAGCGAACGGG
rnacentral:rRNA from 1 species